CAAGAUCUUGUGCAACACGAUGUCUUCCAUUGCAGUUGCCCACGAGCCCAAUCAGCGGAUCAGGAGCCUCAUAGAGCUCUACUACGGCACACCAACCUGCCGAUUGCUACUCCCUCUGUCCAAAAUUACUAUAUGUUUUAGAUUUUCUAGAUAUAUUAAUUUUACUAUGCACCUAGAUAUAUAUUAUGUCUAGAUGUAUAGCAAAAGUUAUGUACUUAGAAAAGCUAAAAACGAAUAGUAAGUUGGGAUGGAGAGAGUAGCUCCCAAGCAUGCUGCGGCUGCUCCGCUCGGCUGACGAAUUACCAAGCAUGCUUCCACUUCGUGCCAGUUGAUGGACUGAGUCUUCAAUUGCAGCUGCUCACUAGCAGUUCAGGAGCCUCCCAUCUACCUAGCUCAGCUACGACACGCGGUGUAAGCAUUUGCACGUGCGUUGCUUCAAGGGCUAGCUAAAUCGUACAUUCCUCGUAACUCCCAAGCCUUAGAAUUUGUAGUAUUGAUCAUCACGUAUCACUGAGGAGAAAUCCGGAGGAUGAAUUUGGAGAACUGAAUAGAAGACGAACUUGUGAGCAUGUCUA
rnacentral:lncRNA from 1 species